UUCCACUGAUGACGUCAUGUUAGUGCCACGUGUCUGGGCCACUGAGACUCCCUGAUGGAACUGAGGAUCUGAGGAA
ensembl:snoRNA SNORD66 small nucleolar RNA SNORD66